GAAAAGAAAUGGGUCAUGGAAAGGAGGAUGCUUGGGGCUGGUCUGCUUAAAACAGAAGCAAGAAAUUAGCAGAAUUCUGAAACUAAAGGAGGUUCUGUAGGAAGCAUACCUUAAAGGCCUGUUUGAAUUUCAUGGCGUGGUUCCAGAGGACAAUCCCCUGUUUGCUGCCUAUGCUGGAAGUACAUCCUCCAUCUGCAGAUCUUUGGAAACACUCUACCCGCUGUGUCUCAAUGCCCCUGUGGCCAAGCUAUUGUGUUGAGCAAAGAGAUGGACCAUGCCAUAGUCUGUAAUGCUGCAGGGAGACAGCAUCCCCAUGCCAAGUCUCAGAGGCUGAAGAAAAAGUCCUCUGCAUGCUAGGGGUCCAACUCCUGUUAAUCAGGAGUAAUAAAGAAAUAGACUUUGAUCUGAGGUAAUGUAAU
rnacentral:lncRNA from 1 species